GGAGCGAACCGGAUUAGAUACCCNGGGUAGUCCACGCCGUAAACGAUGGAUACUAGCUGUUGGAGGUAUCGACCCCUUCAGUAGCGAAGCUAACGCGUUAAGUAUCCCGCCUGUGGAGUACGGUCGCAAGACUAAAACAUAAAGGAAUUGACGGGGACCCGCACAAGCGGUGGAUCGUGUUCUUUAAUUCGAUGAUAAACGAAGAACCUUACCAGGGUUUGACAUCCUUGGAAUUUCUGUGAAAGCAGAGAGUGCUUUAUUGAGCCAAGUGACAGGUGAUGCAUGGCCGUCGUCAGCUCGUGUCGUGAGAUGUUUGGUUACGUCCAUCAACGAGCGCAACCCUUGUGAAUAGUUGUAUUUUUCUAUUCAGACUGCCCCGGUAACGGGGAGGAAGGAGGGGAUGAUGUCAGGUCAGUAUUUCCCUUACACCCUGGGCUAGAAACACGAUACAAUGGUUAGUACAAUGCGCAGCGAAGCCGCGAGGUGGAGCAAAUCGCAUCAAAGCUAAUCUCAGUUCGGAUAAGAGGCUGAAACUCGCCUCUUUGAAGUCGGAAUCGCUAGUAAUCGCAAAUCAGCAAGCUGCGGUGAAUACGUUCCCGGGUCUUGUACACACCGCCCGUCAAACCAUGAAAGUGACCAACACCCGAAGUCCGAUUCGUCGGCCUAAGGUGGGGGGCAUGAUUGGGGUU
rnacentral:rRNA from 1 species